GUAAAAUCUAAGGACUUGUCAAGGGAGGAUAUAAGAACACAUCGUGGUGAUUUGGGUCAGAGAACCUCAGAAAGUAUCAGAAAUUGGAGGCACUAGCUACCUCAGAAAGCAUGAGCAAAGGGUAUGCUGACAGCUGAGAGACUCCCAGAUUCCCAACCUCAUCCUGCGGAGCCAGGCAGGAAAAGCAGUGAAGAUUUGGAAAAAUCGAAUCAAGAUGGGUCUUCAUUUGGAAAUGUCGGGCACAAGUGAAAAACUUCCCUGGUGGUUCAGACAGUGAAGACUCUGUCUACAAUGCAGGAGACCGGGUUCAAUCUCUGGGUUGGGAAGAUCGCCUGGAGAAGGGGAUGGGAACCCACUCCUGUAUUCUUGCCUGGAGAAUUCCAUCGACAGGGGAGCCUGGCGGGCUGCAGUCCAUGGGGCUGUAAGAGUCAGAUAUGACUGAGCGACUAACACUUCCACUUUUUUCAGUAUACUGAAUGGAGACGCUGCCCAGCCCUCUUUCUCUGGACUCCUGGAAUGCUGCCAGCCAGGAUUAUAUCUGCAUAUAGAAGAAGAUCAAAGAAUUUUCCAGAAAGAAACAAGAAAGGCCAGCAGCUUUUUGAAGCCUGCGUUGCAACCCUGGGCCUGCUCUUUGUGUUCAUUUUGGCUGCAGUGAUGGUCUCAUAACCCUCUGGGUGUCAUCGUCCUUGGAGCUCCAGUACUCAACCAAGACCCCG
rnacentral:lncRNA from 1 species